GUAGGUGAACCUGCGGAAGGAUCAUUAAAAGAGCGAGGCCCCUCGUGGGGCCGAACCUCCAACCCUCUGCCGUCCAGACCAAGUUGCUUCGGCGGAAGAGAGCUGCCCUGGCCUUCAUGGUCCGGGGCGGGCUCCGCCGCCGGAGGCUAGACCAACUCUUGCGUGAACAUUUGCGUCCGAGUAAACACACAACCAAACAAAAACUUUCAACAACGGAUCUCUUGGUUCUG
rnacentral:misc_RNA from 1 species